UACCCGCAGCUCAAGUGGUGGUCAUUAUUAUUGGGCCUAAAGCGUCCGUAGCAGGCUUGUUAGAUGCCUGGGUAAAUCGAUGCGCUUAGCGAUCGAAUUCCGGGUAGACCGGCAAGCUCGAGACCGGGAGAGGCGUGAGCUACUCAAGGGGUAGGGGUAAAAUCCUGUAAUCCUUUGGGGAGGACCAGUGGCGAAGGCGUCACGCUAGAACGGCUCUGACUGUGAGGGACGAAGCCCUGGGGCGCAAACCGG
rnacentral:rRNA from 1 species